rnacentral:rRNA from 1 species
UACGUAGGGUGCAGGCGUUAAUCGGAAUUACUGGGCGUAAAGCGUGCGCAGGCGGUUUGCUAAGACAGGUGUGAAAUCCCCGGGCUUAACCUGGGAACUGCGCUUGUAACUGGCAAGCUGGAGUGUGGCAGAGGGGGGUGGAAUUCCGCGUGUAGCAGUGAAAUGCGUAGAGAUGCGGAGGAACACCGAUGGCGAAGGCAGCCCCCUGGGCUGACACUGACGCUCAGGCACGAAAGCGUGGGGAGCAAACAGG